rfam:Caprimulgus carolinensis contig57717, whole genome shotgun sequence.
GUUUCUGUAGUGUAGUGGUUAUCACGUUCACCUGACACGUGGAAGGUCCCUGGUUCAAAACCAGGCAGAAACA